AUCCAGCUGAUGAGUUCAUACAUACAUUUGGACGAAACAUACGUCUUGGAU
rnacentral:hammerhead_ribozyme from 1 species